GCUGGCGGCACGCCUAAACAUGCAAGUCGAACGAGGUAUUUAUACCUAGUGGCAGACGGGUGCGUAACAUGUGGGAAUCUGCCUUUUGGUUCGGAACAACAUGGGGAAACCUGUGCUAAUACCGGAUAAGUCCUUACGGAGAAAGAUUUAUCGCCGAAAGAUGAGCCCGCACUUGAUUAGCUUGUUGGUAAGGUAAAAGCUUACCAAGGCAACGAUCAAUAGCUGAUUUGAGAGGAUGAUCAGCCACACUGGGACUGAGACACGGCCCAGACUCCUACGGGAGGCAGCAGUGGGGAAUCUUGCACAAUGGAGGAAACUCUGAUGCAGCGAUGCCGCGUGAGUGAAGAAGGCCCUUGGGUUGUAAAGCUCUUUGUCGGGAAAGAUAAUGACUGUACCCGAAGA
rnacentral:rRNA from 1 species